AUUUUCUAUUGAAAGAGAGACGGCUUACACUACCCUUGACAAGGAUGGAAUACAAAAAUACGUUGAAAGCACUACUUUACCACAUUUCGU